UACGGGGGAUGCAAGCGUUAUCCGGAAUUAUUGGGCGUAAAGGGUCCUGAGGUGGCUAGCCAAGUCUAUUGUGAAAUAUCAGGGCUUAACCCUGAACAUGCGGUGGAAACUAGAAAGCUUGAGUACAGUAGGGGCGGAGGGAAUUUCCGGGUGGAGCGGUGAAAUGCAUAGAUAUCGGGAGGAACACCGGUGGCGAAGGCGGUUCUCUGGGCCUUACCUGACGCUGAGGAGCGAAAGCGUGGGGAGCAAACAGG
rnacentral:rRNA from 1 species